rnacentral:rRNA from 1 species
AUUAGAUUAGAACCAGCGCAAAGUCCUUUGGCUUUGAGUUAUGGUGAUUCAUAAUAACUAAUCGAAUCGCAGAGACUUUUAGUCGGCGAUGAUACAUACAAAUUUCUGCCCUAUCAACUUUCGAUGGUAGUAUAGAGGACUACCAUGGUUAUAACGGGUAACGGGGAAUUAGGGUUCGACUCCGGAGAGGGGGCCUGAGAGAUGGCCACCACUUCCAAGGAAGGCAGCAGGCGCGCAAAUUACCCAAUCCCAAUUCGGGGAGGUAGUGACAAGAAAUACCAGUACAGGGCCCAAUGGGUACUGUGAUUGGAAUGAAUACAAUUUAAAAACCUUAAUGAGGAACGAUUGGAGGGCAAGUCUGGUGCCAGCAGCCGCGGUAAUUCCAGCUCCAAUAGUGUAUAUUAAAGUUGCUGCAGUUAAAAAGCUCGUAGUUGGAUUUCGGAUAAUAAAAAUUUAAUAUCCAUCCUUAAAAUGUGAUUUAAUUUUUAUUUCCUUCCUUUUGAAUACACUCCCUAAACUUUUUUAGGGAAUCAAGUGUUUCAAAUCGUUUACUGUGAAGAAAUUAGAGUGUUCAAAGCAGGCGUAACCUAGCCUUUGAAUAUAUUAGCAUGGGAUAAUGAAAUAGGACUUUAGUCCUACUUUCGUUGGUUUCUAGGGCUGAAGUAAUGAUUAAUAGGGAUAGUUGGGGUCACUAGUAUUUAAUUGUCAGAGGUGAAAUUCUAAGAUUUAUUAAAGACUAACUACUGCGAAAGCAUUUGACAAGGAUGUUUUCAUUAAUCAAGAACGAAAGUUGGGGGAUCGAAGAUGAUCAGAUACCGUCGUAGUCUCAACCAUAAACUAUGCCGACCAAGGAUCCGGGGUUGUUAAUAUGGAUGACUCUCCGGGCACUUAUAGAGAAAUCAUAAGUAUUUGGGCUCCGGGGGGAGUAUGGUCGCAAGGCUGAAACUUAAAGGAAUUGACGGAAGGGCACCACAAGGAGUGGAACCUGCGGUUUAAUUUGACCCAACACGGGGAAACUUACCAGGUCCAGACACAGUGAGGAUUGACAGAUUGAGAGUUCUUUCUUGAUUCUGUGAGUGGUGGUGCAUGGCCGUUUCUAGUUGGUGGAGUGAUUUGUCUGGUUAAUUCCGUUAACGAACGAGACCUUAACCUAUUAAAUAGUUGUUUGAACUUGAUUUUUUAAAUCAAAUGUUCAAUUAACUUCUUAGAGGGACUCUUCACUGAGAGAGUGAAUGGAAGUUUGAGGCAAAAACAGGUCUGUGAUGCCCUUAGAUGUUCUGGGCCACACGCGCGUUACACUGACAUAUUCAACGAGCAUUAUCCUUGCCCGUCGGGGUUGGGUAAUCUUUUAAAUGUAUGUCG